GAGCCCUAAUGCAGUAGGUAAUACCCGUCACGGAAUAUUACGGCACGAGAUAUUCGCGUUGUUCAGAAGCCGAGCCGAUCGUCCCGCGUGUUUUUUGAUUAUUUUUUUCAAACGGAUUUCGUUCUUGCGAUACACCGUUCGCAAAUUUCAUUCGAAUAUUUACGUAAUUGAAUAUUUUAAACGUACAGCUGCUGGCUAUAAC